UAUUUAGUGAGGAAAUGAGCUUAAGGAGUUGGGUUGGUGAAUCAUUAUGUAGUGCAGUGAUGAAAGUUGUGGAUAGCAAUUUGGUAAGUAGGGAUGAUGAAAGUUUCUCUAGAAAGGAGGAAUGUUUAUCAUCAAUCUUGAGUUUGGCAAUGGAGUGUACAAGAGAAUCACCUGGGGAGAGGAUCAACAUUAGAGAAGUGGUAUCUAAACUCUUGAAAAUUAGAGUCAAUUAUCUUACCAGUAUGGCAACCACAAGAGAGAGGAACAAAAAUGUGCUUGCUAGACAACAACCCAUUGAUUGAAGGGCUCAGCUUCAGCAGAAUAUGGGUAAACUUAAUAAAGGGACAAGUGGAUUAGGUUACUAGCCAACAACCCAUGGAUAGAAGGACCGGAGUUUCAGUGAUUUAAAUUUGAUUUUGAUAACCUUUGAAACCUGUUGGACCUUUGUGUAGUGAAGAUAAACUUUACGGGUUUUUGAAGAUUCCAGUAUUAUAUUUAUGGAGAUGAACAUAUCUAUUAUAUUAAGUUUUUUAUUUAUUUAUUUUAAAAGAAGUAAUGUUCAAGAGUUGUAGUUCUCUUUUCCCUUCUGGAAUGAUCAAACCUAUUGGCCCAAGGUUUUCCAA